rnacentral:lncRNA from 1 species
UUCUUUCACAUCUCCAAAAAUACUAAAAUGACGAAUGAAAAGAGAAGCACGUACAUUAACAUAAAGAAGAAGUAUUUUUUAAUCAUGAGUAAAUCUAUAAAUCAACUCUACUCCCUUCUUUCCGAUACACAAGUCUAAAUGUCAUUUUGGCAAAAUAUAUAAAUCACUCUCCAAAUCUCUAACGCAGUUCUCUCUCUUCUCUCCCCAAAAUCCUCUCAUUCUAACCCAAAUCAACGUCUCUCUCUCCUCUCUAAUUCUAUUUAGCCCAAUAAUUGCUUACUGAUAUAACUUAGUCCCCAUUACUUGCUGAAAUCACUUAGCCCCCACCAACCAUUGCAUCUCGUUAUCUCUCUUCCUCAUCUCCAACUGGUUCGAUCGUCGCAAAUUGGAAUCCUUAGACCCAAAUUGGAAUACUUAGACAAAUUGUUGUCUUCUCCAUCACUACUAUCACUGAAUUGUUAUUAUAACAGUUAUUCUUUAAUAAAUUUGUACUGCCCAAAAGUCAAAUUCUUUAAUGGGUCUCCUUCCCAUAAGUAUUCCCAUUUCAAAAGUGUGCUAAAUUUACUUAAACUAUGUGUCUUCUAAAAAGGAAUGAUCGAUUUAAUUUGUUUUUAAGUUAGAAUGACGAUUCGAGAAGAGCAGGGGGGCUAAGUGAUUUAACCGGAACAGAGCAUUUUGGGAAGGGUAAAAGAGAAGAGAGAGAAAUGCGUGAGAGUUGGAGAGAAGACCUAAAUAAAAUAGAAAGGACAGACAAAUAUGCGAUUUAUAUUUUACCAAAACGACAUUUAGAACGAGAGGGUUUCGGGGAGGGAAGAGAAAUAACUGCGUUAGAGAUUUGGAGAGUGAUUUAUAUAUUUGCCAAAGACAAAAGUAAAGAGAGUUUUUAUAGGUUUUAAAUUUAAUUUCUUCCGAAGAAAAUAUAUCUUAUUAUUUAUAAAUUGUUACAUGCUAAUAAUAUUC